rnacentral:rRNA from 1 species
GAUGAACGCUGGCGGCGUGCCUAAUACAUGCAAGUCGAGCGAAUGGAUUAAGAGCUUGCUCUUAUGAAGUUAGCGGCGGACGGGUGAGUAACACGUGGGUAACCUGCCCAUAAGACUGGGAUAACUCCGGGAAACCGGGGCUAAUACCGGAUAACAUUUUGAACCGCAUGGUUCGAAAUUGAAAGGCGGCUUCGGCUGUCACUUAUGGAUGGACCCGCGUCGCAUUAGCUAGUUGGUGAGGUAACGGCUCACCAAGGCAACGAUGCGUAGCCGACCUGAGAGGGUGGUCGGCCACACUGGGACUGGGACACGGCCCAGACUCCGACGGGAGGCAGCAGUAGGGAAUCUUCCGCAAUGGACGAAAGUCUGACGGAGCAACGCCGCGUGAGUGAUGAAGGCUUUCGGGUCGUAAAACUCUGUUGUUAGGGAAGAACAAGUGCUAGUUGAAUAAGCUGACACCUUGACGGUACCUAACCAGAAAGCCACGGCUAACUACGUGCCAGCCGCCGCGGUAA